rnacentral:lncRNA from 1 species
GUGGCAUUGGUCAAGUCCAGGCAGCUGACCCUCCCAGAGCUGCAAACAGAUGGCUAAUGACAGCCUAGGACAUCCAACCAGCUCUGACAAUUUGUCACAUUUCCAAGCUGUGGUGACAAGUAGUCCCCUGACACCUGCUGCAGCUCUCAUUUGAAAUCCUGAAUGUUACUGAUAAUCUCAACUAAGUACUUUGCACAGGAGCCCCAAAUUUCACCCUACAGACAGAUCCCUUCGCUGUCUAAUAAACUAACCAGAAACCUCUACUGCCAGCUCCUAAGGUCAGCUCUGGGUCAGGCUGCACUUGAGGUUUCGUGAAGCUCAGAAGACACUGGUGGCAUUUCUUCCUGAUGAUAUUCAAG